rnacentral:misc_RNA from 1 species
GAUGAAGAACGUAGCGAAAUGCGAUAAGUAAUGUGAAUUGCAGAAUUCAGUGAAUCAUCGAAUCUUUGAACGCACAUUGCGCCCGUCAGUAUUCUGGCGGGCAUGCCUGUUCGAGCGUCAUUACGCCCCUCAAGUCCCCUGUGGACUUGGUGUUGGGGAUCGGCGAGGCUGGUUUUCCAGCACAGCCGUCCCUUAAAUUAAUUGGCGGUCUCGCCGUGGCCCUCCUCUGCGCAGUAGUAAAACACUCGCAACAGGAGCCCGGCGCGGUCCACUGCCGUAAAACCCCCCAACUUUUUAUAGUUGACCUCGAAUCAGGUAGGACUACCCGCUGAACUUAAGCAUAUCAAUACGGAGGA